GGCCUGUAUGAUGCUUAUUCAAAUCAGAAUCCGGUUGUAAAUCAGUGCAUUUGUAAUUUGCUGUCUUUGAUAUUGUUUUUCUUAUGUUUAAUGUUUUCUACAUAAAUUAGGUCAUAAUUUUUUCCCUUUGUUUCACAUCUUUUCAUGUCGGGUCAUAAUGCUGAUUUUACGGCGUCACAGCUGUCAUUUAGCAUAUCGAAAAAAUCAAUCGUGACAAAAUAAGAAACGG
rnacentral:lncRNA from 1 species